AUUGAACGCUGGCGGCGUGCCUAACACAUGCAAGUCGAGCGGUAACAGGUGUAGCAAUACAUGCUGACGAGCGGCGGACGGGUGAGUAACGCUUGGGAAUCUGCCUAUUAGUGGGGGACAACCCGGGGAAACUCGGGCUAAUACCGCAUACGCUCUACGGAGGAAAGCCGGGGACCGCAAAGGCCUGGCGCUAAUAGAUGAGCCCAAGUCGGAUUAGCUAGUUGGUAGGGUAAGGCCUACCAAGGCGACGAUCCGUAAACUGGUCUGAGAGGACGACCAGGUCACACCGGAACUGAGACACGGUCCGGACUCUACGGGAGGCAGCAGUGGGGAAUAUUGGAC
rnacentral:rRNA from 1 species